UGGCUCAGGACGAACGCUGGCGGCGUGCCUAAUACAUGCAAGUCGAGCGAACAGAGAAGGAGCUUGCUCCUUCGACGUUAGCGGCGGACGGGUGAGUAACACGUGGGCAACCUACCUUAUAGUUUGGGAUAACUCCGGGAAACCGGGGCUAAUACCGAAUAAUCUAUUUUACUUCAUGGUGAAAUACUGAAAGACGGUUUCGGCUGUCGCUAUAAGAUGGGCCCGCGGCGCAUUAGCUAGUUGGUGAGGUAACGGCUCACCAAGGCGACGAUGCGUAGCCGACCUGAGAGGGUGAUCGCCACACUGGGACUGAGACACGGCCCAGACUCCUACGGGAGGCAGCAGUAGGGAAUCUUCCACAAUGGGCGAAAGCCUGAUGGAGCAACGCCGCGUGAGUGAAGAAGGUUUUCGGAUCGUAAAACUCUGUUGUAAGGGAAGAACAAGUACAGUAGUAACUGGCUGUACCUUGACGGUACCUUAUUAGAAAGCCACGGCUAACUACGUGCCAGCAGCCGCGGUAAUAC
rnacentral:rRNA from 1 species